rnacentral:rRNA from 1 species
AUACGUAGGGUGCGAGCGUUGUCCGGAAUUACUGGGCGUAAAGAGCUCGUAGGUGGUUUGUCGCGUCGUCUGUGAAAUUCCGGGGCUUAACUCCGGGCGUGCAGGCGAUACGGGCAUAACUUGAGUACUGUAGGGGAGACUGGAAUUCCUGGUGUAGCGGUGAAAUGCGCAGAUAUCAGGAGGAACACCGGUGGCGAAGGCGGGUCUCGGGGCAGUAACUGACGCGGAGGAGCGAAAGCAUGGGUAGCGAACAGGAUUAGAUACCCGGGUAGUCCAUGCCGUAAACGGUGGGCGCUAGGUGUAGGGGUCUUCCACGACUUCUGUGCCGUAGCUAACGCAUUAAGCGCCCCGCCUGGGGAGUACGGCCGCAAGGCUAAAACUCAAAGGAAUUGACGGG